rnacentral:rRNA from 1 species
UACGUAGGUGGCAAGCGUUGUCCGGAUUUAUUGGGUUUAAAGGGUGCGUAGGCGGCUUUGUAAGUCAGUGGUGAAAUAUGGCAGCUUAACUGUCAAGGUGCCAUUGAUACUGCGGGGCCUGAGUACAGAUGAGGUAGGCGGAAUUGACGGUGUAGCGGUGAAAUGCUUAGAUAUCGUCAAGAACACCUAUAGCGAAGGCAGCUUACUAGGCUGUAACUGACGCUGAGGCACGAAAGUGUGGGGAUCAAACAGG